rnacentral:rRNA from 1 species
GAUGAACGCUAGCUACAGGCUUAACACAUGCAAGUCGAGGGGCAGCAUGGUCUUAGCUUGCUAAGGCCGAUGGCGACCGGCGCACGGGUGAGUAACACGUAUCCAACCUGCCGUCUACUCUUGGACAGCCUUCUGAAAGGAAGAUUAAUGCAAGAUGGCAUCAUGAGUCCGCAUGUUCACAUGAUUAAAGGUAUUCCGGUAGACGAUGGGGAUGCGUUCCAUUAGAUAGUAGGCGGGGUAACGGCCCACCUAGUCUUCGAUGGAUAGGGGUUCUGAGAGGAAGGUCCCCCACAUUGGAACUGAGACACGGUCCAAACUCCUACGGGAGGCAGCAGUGAGGAAUAUUGGUCAAUGGGCGAGAGCCUGAACCAGCCAAGUAGCGUGAAGGAUGACUGCCCUAUGGGUUGUAAACUUCUUUUAUAAAGGAAUAAAGUCGGGUAUGGAUACCCGUUUGCAUGUACUUUAUGAAUAAGGAUCGGCUAACUCCGUGCCAGCAGCCGCGGUAAUACGGAGGAUCCGAGCGUUAUCCGGAUUUAUUGGGUUUAAAGGGAGCGUAGAUGGAUGUUUAAGUCAGUUGUGAAAGUUUGCGGCUCAACCGUAAAAUUGCAGUUGAUACUGGAUAUCUUGAGUGCAGUUGAGGCAGGCGGAAUUCGUGGUGUAGCGGUGAAAUGCUUAGAUAUCACGAAGAACUCCGAUUGCGAAGGCAGCCUGCUAAGCUGCAACUGACAUUGAGGCUCGAAAGUGUGGGUAUCAAACAGGAUUAGAUACCCUGGUAGUCCACACGGUAAACGAUGAAUACUCGCUGUUUGCGAUAUACUGCAAGCGGCCAAGCGAAAGCGUUAAGUAUUCCACCUGGGGAGUACGCCGGCAACGGUGAAACUCAAAGGAAUUGACGGGGGCCCGCACAAGCGGAGGAACAUGUGGUUUAAUUCGAUGAUACGCGAGGAACCUUACCCGGGCUUAAAUUGCAGAUGAAUUACGGUGAAAGCCGUAAGCCGCAAGGCAUCUGUGAAGGUGCUGCAUGGUUGUCGUCAGCUCGUGCCGUGAGGUGUCGGCUUAAGUGCCAUAACGAGCGCAACCCUUGUUGUCAGUUACUAACAGGUUCCGCUGAGGACUCUGACAAGACUGCCAUCGUAAGAUGUGAGGAAGGUGGGGAUGACGUCAAAUCAGCACGGCCCUUACGUCCGGGGCUACACACGUGUUACAAUGGGGGGUACAGAGGGCCGCUACCACGCGAGUGGAUGCCAAUCCCCAAAACCUCUCUCAGUUCGGACUGGAGUCUGCAACCCGACUCCACGAAGCUGGAUUCGCUAGUAAUCGCGCAUCAGCCACGGCGCGGUGAAUACGUUCCCGGGCCUUGUACACACCGCCCGUCAAGCCAUGGGAGCCGGGGGUACCUGAAGUGCGUAACCGCGAGGAGCGCCCUAGGGUA